rnacentral:rRNA from 1 species
AGUAAAUUGGUUAAGUUAGAAAGGGCGCACGGUGGAUGCCUUGGCACUAGGAGCCGAAGAAGGACGGGACUAACACCGAUAUGCUUUGGGGAGCUGUACGUAAGCGUUGAUCCAGAGAUUUCCGAAUGGGGGAACCCACUAUCUUUAGUCGGAUAGUAUCCUUACGUGAAUACAUAGCGUAAGGAAGGCAGACCCAGGGAACUGAAACAUCUAAGUACCUGGAGGAAGAGAAAGAAAAAUCGAUUUCCUGAGUAGCGGCGAGCGAAACGGAAAGAGCCCAAACCAAGAAGCUUGCUUCUUGGGGUUGUAGGACACUCUAUACGGAGUUACAAAAGAAAGUUAUAAAUGAAGCGGUCUGGAAAGGCCCGCCAAAGACGGUAACAGCCCGGUAGUUGAAAUGGCUUUCCCUCCAGAGUG